rnacentral:rRNA from 1 species
AAAAUAACAAUGAUUUCCCUAGUAACGGCGAGUGAAGAGGAAAGAGCUCAAAGUUGGAACCUGUUUGGCCUAGCUAAACCGGAUUGUAGACUGUAGAAGUGUUUUCCAGGCAAGCCGAGUAAAUAAGUCCUUUGGAACAGGGCAUCAUAGAGGGUGAGAAUCCCGUCUUUGGCUUGAGCAUUUGCCUUUUGUGAUACGCUUUCAAAGAGUCAGGUUGUUUGGGAAUGCAGCCUAAAUUGGGUGGUAAAUCUCACCUAAAGCUAAAUAUUGGCGAGAAACCGAUAGCGAACAAGUACCGUGAGGGAAAGAUGAAAAGAACUUUGAAAAGAGAGUUAAACAGUAUGUGAAAUUGUUAAAAGGGAACCGUUUGGAGCCAGACUGGCUUGUCUGUAAUCAAUCUAGGCUUCGGCCUGGAUGCACUUGCAGGCUAUGCCUGCCAACGACAAUUUGACUUGAGGGAAAAAACUAAGGGAAAUGUGGCCCACUUGUGGGUGUUAUAGUCCCUUAGAAAAUACCUUGGGUUGGAUUGAGGAACGCAGCGAAUGCUUUUUGGCGAGUUUUCCAGGAAGGUUUUCUGAGGUACCUACGGUAUCAAGGUUGAUCUUUUUGGUUAUACUUCUAUUCGCUUAGGUUGUUGGCUUAAUGACUCUAAAUGAC